AGUUCUAAGGAAAGACCUGCAAUAGGCAGAUUUAAUUAGCUCUUGCAGCUCUUGCAUAAUGUAUGUUUAAGUAGGCACAUAUCCGUAUCUUUAUUUACGAAAGAGAAAGCAUGGAGAAUAUUAUAAUUAACACAUAAGUUAGAAUCAACUGCGCGUUGUAGGCUAUCAUACGAUCCGUCAUUGAGUCGAGUGGCGUGGUUUCAAUUUUCCGCGUACGUGUAUGUGACAAGGAGUCGCCUGUCCAAUCUCAUGGGUUUUAUCUGGUUUCCUCCCAAUGCUAAAAAGACCACUAGACGCAAGCGAAUUAUUGAAAAAAACCCAACAUAUCUUAGUCUCGAAAUGACCUAGUGUGUGUCUAUCUUGAUUAUCCCGGAUGGCAGAGUUUUAAAAGUAAGACGUUAAACCCCAUUUCAUAAUAAGUUGGAGUUUUUUUGUUCUGUCCGGACACGAUCUAAAAUCAAUGGUUUUAUUUUUUAUCUUUUUACACGUCAUAUAUAUAAAUAUUGGCCGAUACUUGUAAAGGUGAAGGUCACACCUUUGUCUUCAAUCGGUCUGAAUCACGUCAUUUAGAAUUGUACAGGUGUUGUAUAGUUUACUUCUGUCGAGGUCUUUAUUUAAAUCUUUAAUACUGACGUAACGAUUAUGAUGUAAAUAAUCAGUGAACAGGUGUGUUGAAAAAUAAUGAUUGCUGAAGUAUCUGUUCUUCUUACGGUCCUUCUAGUGGAAAACGUAUGUGGUCGUAGAGGUUACCGCGGAUCUAGUGGUUCAGGAGAACAUGAUGUAGCAAUAUAUAUUGGUUGUCUCGUAGGAGGUUUGGUUGUUUCAAUAAUCACCAUACUACUACUUUACUUCUGUUACAAACGAUGGCUACGUCGAAUGGAUGCUGCUGAGAAUACCAGAAAGAUACAUAGUAUGAAUACAGAAAUGAUUAACGGGCAUAUGUAUUUUGUCCAUGAUAAAUAUGAGCCAAACGUCGACCUAUCAUUUGAUUCAGAUGCCAAGAGUACCUUCCGGCUUGAACCCGUUCCAACCAAGCCAUCAAGUUAUAUAUAGCCAGUAUUUUUUUAAAGUGUUAAAUCAGUUUUUUACAUAUAUCUUUAUUUUUAUAUCCCGGUGAAAAAAUGAUUUCAGGAAUUUUACUGUGUUAAUGUAGUCGUCGUUUUUGUCAGUGGGUAGAUUUACGUAUAUCUUACUCAAAUCUAUGUAGAUCUAAAAGCAUUGCUGGUUUCCAAAUACCUGUAGUCAUUUUAACCAAUAUAAAUUCUGUUGGGGACAGAAAUCACCGUAGAAUCACCUGUAUAUCUCAAAGACCUUCUUUAGAAUUAAAAACCCUCACAUCUUCAUUUUUACAUGCCAAACAGUAAAACACUACGUGGCCAACCUCUUUCUGGGUUGCAGUGCCAAAACUUUGAAACGACAUGUGCUUUAAAAAACAAGGAUCGGUUCCGGUGGUACUUUUUACCGCCGACCACCGCCGACUACCGCCAACCACCGCCGACUACCGCCGACCAAAUGCUUUUUACCGCUGACCGUCGUGUAAUUACUGCCGACCAAAUAUUUUUUACCGCCGACCGCAUUAUAAUGACUUUCGACCGUAAUAUAAUUACCGCCGAACAAAUACUUGUUACCACCGAUGCUUAAUGAUUCCUUGUUACCGCCGACUAUUUUACGGUUGUUUUUUUUUUAUAAAAAAAGAAUACAACAAGAAUGUUAUUUUUUAUUUGAGGUGUAAUCACGUACAACUGUCGAAAAACAUUCAUAUUUAUUUUAAAGAAUAUGGAAGGACAAAACUACAAUUUAGAUAUUGAAGGGCAAAUAUAUCAAGAUUGUUUCAGCUACUGGUUAUAAAUAUAUAACAUUUUAGGCCUAUUUUCUAUUAGUGCGAACACUUCUACACCUUUUGGUUUGAUGGGGUUUUUGGGCUGGUAAUUUUGCUUUCUUUACUACACAAAAUUUUUGGUUUGUUGAACAAAUAAUUUCUUCUUCGUCGCGCUUCCUUUUCGAGUCUUUAAGAAAAUUUGCAAAACAUUUUUCUUUUUGCUCUUCGCUGAAACAGCGCCACUUUUGUUCAGAAACAGAAUAUGCUUUAUAGCGACCACAAAGUUCAUAAUCUCCAGAAAAAUACAGGAUAGAUCUUAAAUUUAUUGAUUGAAAAUUCACACACAUAUACAGCUUCUCGAUUAAUUCUGGAGCCUUUUGGGGUUUCCAGUCAAUGGCACAUUUAAAAAUAUGGUUUGCGGAUUCCGCGUUGUUAUUUGUCCAUAAUUUGACUUCGUCACCUUUUCUCUUUGGUAUAUAAACGAACUUUGUUAUUCUAUCUUUCACGGUUUUAAGGUACUUUUGUAGGUCUGGGUAUUUUUCGUACACGGUCGAGAUGUCAUGCUUUCUUCUUUCAAAGUCUAUCGUGUCGUUUGCACACGCAACUCCUUCAGUUCCAAAGAACUUAUCUACAAUUUGGGAUAGCUCACUAACAUUAAGUCCCACUUUAUUUUGUAAGUGAAAUAUUAUAUUGUCUUUAAUAUGCUUGGUCGGCAGUAAAAAGUAUUUGGUCGGUGGUAAUGUCACGAUAGUCGGCGGUAAAAGUAUUGGUCGGCGGUAGUCGGCGGUGGUCGGCGGUAAAAAGUACCACCCGAUCGGUUCUCGUUUCAAUGCAUUUACCUCAUUGUUUUACCUCAUAUUUUGAUUUAACUUUUGCCAUGUAUAUAAAAAAAUAUGAUAUUUUAUCUAUUCAUAAGAACACACAACACGAGGUAUAUAUGGAUGUAACUACUUCUCUAUUAUUUAAUAACGACGUUUCGUAACACAUACAGGUCACAUUUUUUAAAGAAUUGAUAUUUUAUCUGUAUUGUGUUGUUGUUUUUUUUAAUUUUAUAGUUUUUUUUUUACUGUUUAUGCUUUAUUUUUGAUACCAUGUGUUUAUUAUAGCAUAAGAAUUGUUAUAGAUUGUAUUUUUUAUAUAUGAAAAAGAAUUGUUCUGGGUUAUAUUAUUCAUUGUUUAAAUAUAAGAUAUUAAAUAUAAGGAUAAUGAAAUAUAAUUUUCGGCUAUAUACACUUUUCCUGUAUUUGAUUAUAUGCAAGAUAUUGCCAUCUGCUAAUUUUCUUCUUAUGACUGACAUGAUACAUAAUUUUGAAGAGAGAACAUAAAAAUCCUCUUUAAUCUGUGGUUAUUUCCCACACUAGUCACAAUUUGGUAGGACCAUAAAUGAAUUUUCAGAAAAAAUCUGCUCUAGGCAUAGUAGGUUCCCUUUAUCUAUCUCCGAGCUGCGUCAUUGCUGUCGCGUCGAACUUGAAAAUUGUUAAAAUACUUACGAUAUAGAUGAUAGCCAGAAAGGUCGCCCAGUAAUAAACAUUAAUUAUUGUAUUCCAUUAGUAUUGUGACAUAUGUAUUUCUAGUAAAAAUAUUAAAUUCCAUUGAAACAAUGUAACCUUUGGACAAGAUUCCUAAUUUUUGUCAGAUAUUAUGACAUCUAUGUAUCAUUAAUAAUAAUUUAAAACAUUUUA